UACGAAGGGGGCUAGCGUUGCUCGGAAUCACUGGGCGUAAAGCGCACGUAGGCGGAUUGUUAAGUCAGGGGUGAAAUCCUGGAGCUCAACUCCAGAACUGCCUUUGAUACUGGCGAUCUCGAGUCCGGGAGAGGUGAGUGGAACUGCGAGUGUAGAGGUGAAAUUCGUAGAUAUUCGCAAGAACACCAGUGGCGAAGGCGGACUCACUGGCCCGGUACUGGACGCUGAGGUGCGAAAGCGAUGGGGA
rnacentral:rRNA from 1 species